GGGUGCGAUCAUACCAGCACUAGUGCACCGGAUUCCAUCGAAACUUCGAAGUUAAGUGCUUGAGCGAGAAUAGUUCUAAGAUGAGUUUGUCCUAUGACUUUCA
rfam:Cephalotus follicularis DNA, scaffold: scaffold493, isolate: St1.